AACGCGAAGAACCUUACCUACCCUUGACAUGCUAGGAAUCUGCUAGAGAUAGUGGAGUGCCUUCGGGAACCUAGACACAGGUGCUGCAUGGCUGUCGUCAGCUCGUGUCGUGAGAUGUUGGGUUAAGUCCCGUAACGAGCGCAACCCCUGUCCUUAGUUGCCAUCAGGUAAAGCUGGGAACUCUAAGGAGACUGCCGGUGACAAGCCGGAGGAAGGUGGGGAUGACGUCAAGUCCUCAUGGCCCUUACGGGUAGGGCUACACACGUGCUACAAUGGGCAGUACAAAGGGAAGCGAAGCCGCGAGGUGAAGCGAAUCUUAUCAAAGCUGCUCGUAGUCCGGAUUGGAGUCUGCAACUCGACUCCAUGAAGUUGGAAUCGCUAGUAAUCGUGGAUCAGAACGCCACGGUGAAUACGUUCCCGGGCCUUGUACACACCGCUCGUC
rnacentral:rRNA from 1 species